AGAUGGAACUUUACAGUGGGGGCUGUGGAGAGGAGGAGUAGAGGAAGGAGGCUUAUAUACAUGUUGUCACACAAAAUACAGAGUCUGCCUGAGGUCCAGGCUCAGGUGCUGAGGUGGGACUGUCACGUGUCCAGCUCAAGAGACAAAGCACCAUGGCCUGUGUUCUCUCCAUGCUUCCCAAUGACGACCCGUGUGCUGUCCACCAACCUGCAGGAAACGCCUCAGAUGUCCCCUGUAUCCCCGAGUAACAGCUCCCCAAAGUGACAAACAAAGAAUAUACAGUACAGUGAGAUGGAACUUUAGACUGCAGGCUGUGGAGAGGAGGAGUGGAGGAAGGAGGCUUAUAUCCAUGUUAU